rnacentral:rRNA from 1 species
UACGGAGAGUGCAAGCAUUAAUCGGAAUUAUUGGGCGUAAAGGGCGCGUAGGCGGAAUGAUAAGUCAGAUGUGAAAUACCGAAGCUCAACUUCGGUGCUGCAUUUGAAACUAUCAAUCUAGAGGGUUGACGGAGAAAACGGAAUUCCACGUGUAGCGGUGAAAUGCGUAGAUAUGUGGAAGAACACCAGUGGCGAAAGCGGUUUUCUAGUUUAUACCUGACGCUGAGGCGCGAGAGCAAGGGGAGCAAACAGG